GACGGAGGAUGCAAGUGUUAUCCGGAAUCACUGGGCGUAAAGCGUCUGUAGGUGGUUUAAAAAGUCCACUGUUAAAAAUUGAAGCUUAACUUCAAAGAUGCCGUGGAAACUUUUAAACUUGAGGAUGAUAGGGGUAGAGGGAAUUUCCAGUGGAGCGUUGAAAUGCGUAGAUAUUGGAAAGACCACCAAUGGCGAAGGCACUCUACUGGGCCAUUACUGACACUGAGAGACGAAAGCUAGGGGAGCGAACAGG
rnacentral:rRNA from 1 species